rnacentral:lncRNA from 1 species
AAUUAUUUGUGCUUUUAAUUUCUGUAUAGGCAUGUACUAUAAAACUAAUAGGUGAAUAGAUUUUUAGUGUUGAAUGAAAUUUUUGGAAGAAACUUUUCUUGGCCUGUGUAGGAAUAAAAUUUCAUUGUUCUACAUCAGGGCUGUAUCUUCCUGUAUCUUCCUGCAUCUCCCUUACUUCUUCCUCACCUCCUUAAAAUUUUUAUAAAUCCAAAAUCACGUCUUAUUAAAAUUAUAAUAAAAAUUAAAAUUUGUUCCAACACCUUUAUUUUUUAAUGCCUUCCAAAUGUACAUUCUAA